rnacentral:tmRNA from 2 species
GGGGGCGAAAAGAUUUCGACGGGAAGAGUCGAAGUCAUCGCUGCAUGCCGACCUGUCACGAAGUCGUAAAACCCGUGGCACAAAAAAUAAAUAACGCAGAAAUGCGCCUUGCUGCUUAACUAAAGCAGCACGUCAGCCAGACGACGCCUGCUAGACUGGAAGACGCCGCAGCAGGCUGGCCACUUCAAGUUCUCUCUGGCGCGAAGUGGUAAGACCCAUCAGAGAUAGUUGCUUUACGAUCCUCUCCUUGGGAGCAAAAAGCGACGAAUCUCAAUUCAAGGAAUAAGCAUGUAGACGCGUUGAUAACGCCUUUCCGGACGACGGUGCAAUUCCGUCCGCCUCCACCA